rnacentral:snRNA from 1 species
UCUCGGCCUUUUGGCUAAGAUAAAAUGUAUUAUUUGUUAUUAUCAAUUUAAUAUUUGAUAUAUUUAUCAGUUUAGUA